UACAGAGGGUGCAAGCGUUAAUCGGAAUUACUGGGCGUAAAGCGUGCGUAGACGGUUAUUUAAGUCAGGUGUGAAAGCCCAGGGCUCAACCUUGGAAUUGCAUUUGAGACUGAAUAGCUAGGGUGCGGAAGAGGGAAGCGGAAUUUCCGGUGUAGCGGUGAAAUGCGUAGAUAUCAGGAGGAACACCUAUUGCGAAGGCAGCUCGCUGGGACGUUACUGACGCUGAGACGCGAAAGCGUGGGGAGCAAACAGG
rnacentral:rRNA from 1 species